rnacentral:misc_RNA from 1 species
UGGUUUUGGACCCGUGUCUGCCGGUAGAUCCCCCGUCUUUGUGCGGCCGACUACCGGCGCCGUGUCCCGUCGGUUCUGUGGCUUAUGUUACUGUUGCCUUUCAAGCGCUUGUGUGUUGGUACCCGAACUCCGGGUAGUGGUGCUUUGUAUUCGGUUGCCUCGCGGUGGCCGCCUUCGGGUGUGCUGCUGCGGCCAAAUGGCGCUAGCGGCGUUUCCUCGUUGUGCCGGCAUGUUUACUCUGCCGGUGCAAUCAAGGCAACCUCGCUCCCGCUGUUGGUCUCGGAUGUUGCCUACGUUAAAGUCUCUUGGCCCAUUUAAGUUGCCUUGACCUGACCCUAAGAAGCUCUCCGAAAAAUUGAGAACAACCGGAACAGGUGUUGCCUCUACCUCUCCACAGUUAGUGGUAGGAUUACGCAACAUUCUGCGCCGAUCCUCAAACUAGUAGGAACGAGCUUGGCCCGCUCAAAUGCGACAACCGGCCCGGCCGUUUGCUCUGCCUUGACACGCAAGUGGAUGGGUGGACAACUUCCGACGCUGGACGUCAAAGAGGACG